rnacentral:lncRNA from 1 species
GUGGGGGCCAGGUGGAGUCAUGGGUAUCAGACCUGCAAAAAACCUGGGAAAAUGUCUCAAAAGGCCAGUCUACAAUAGUGAUGUUAUCUGUAGGACAGAUCUUGUGACCAGUCUAUGCCUUAGCAGAAUUCCUCCCCUUCUCCUAGCCUGAUGGCGUUUCAUUAGCUUUACAAAGUUUUAGUACCACUGUGAGACAUGUCAUGCCAAGGAAAGAGCAGAAGUUGGGAAGAAGAAUUUGAAGGUCAUUGCAGAAACUUAUGCUGAGUCAUUUAACUAGGUGGUGGUAGCAGAAAUGGAAAGAAGAAUCUAUAUGGGAGGGAAAUGGUAAGGAAAUAACCUACAGGGCUGAUGGAUUAAUGGGUUUUAUGUAUUGUGUACUUUCAAAACACUAAGCAUUAAUCAAAAAAUAGAAUUCUUUAAUUUCCUAAUUCCUUAAAUACUAGACCUUUAUUUACAUAUACAUUUAAGCCUCA